rnacentral:lncRNA from 1 species
AUAGAAUCACUAGUAUAGACUUCCAGUUUCUAUUUUGAGCACUUUGGAGAUUUAAAACAAGAAGAUAAUUAAAGAAACAAAGCAAAUUCUACAUAAUUCAGAAUCCUAUAAAGACGGAUAAAAAAAGAGGUAAUAGGUAUCUAGUUUCCAAUAUUUGUGUUUGACACCCUCCCAAACUUCUUCUCCCAAACAAUCCUUAAUAGGCAAAGGAAUUAAUUGUCUUGAGUAGCACAAAUUCUCAAGUUCCAGAGAGACUAGAUGACAAUAAACAACAUGAAAGAAUGCAUUACCUC